CAGCUCACAAGCAAAGAAAACAGGAAGAAAGUAGCCAUAAUAUAGCCGUAAACAGCCUGAACGUCUAUCGACGUGCCCUGAGUCUUGCGUGGUGAACAUCUAUUGAUGUGUCCCGAGUUUUGUGGGUUAAGUUGUUGUUUUGGGCAAUAUAGUUCAUUUAUAUCAUGCAUACAAUAAACAUUGUAUUUAUCUUAUAUCAAAUCUAUAUUUGGUUGGUAUUUAAAGCAUGUUAAUUUUUUUGCAGGGGUUAAAGUCAUAUCACUAGAAUGAAUUAAUUCUAUUUCCAUUAAUUUCUAUGGGAAAAAUUGAUUUGAUUUACAAUUAUUUUUACAGAUAACGAUCAUCAUGGAAUGAAUUCAAUUUGUAUGUCGAGAUACCACUGUACAGUAAGGUCCCGAGUUACGUCAGAGUUACGUUCCUGAAACAUGACAUAUCACAAAUACAUUUGGACAACUGAAGUUUACCAUAAAGCCAUAGAGAAAAUAGCUAAAAAGGCUGAGGCCUUAAAAGAGAUUGGACAAAUUUAUGGAAGGGGAUGAUAGAUGGAAACAGAACUGCUGCCUCUGGUUCAAAGCCUCGAGAAGGCAGGACACAAGUGGCCCCAAACAGCAUUCCCAGCACACUCCCUGUCACACUCCCAAAGCAGUGGUAGAGAGGCACUGUCAAGCAGAUGCGGUGGUGCUGUAUAGAUAAAUAAAUCAAACAAUAAGCUGACUAAUGUAUAAUAGUAUUGUUAUUAGUGUUUUACAAGCUAAACAUUUUUUGCACACAGUUCCAAACAUGAGGCAUUUACAAAAGAAACAUUCAUAUAAAGUAGAGAGGUAACUGAAGAUGAAUAUAGUCUAGGUAUUACAACAAUACAUUAAAGCUUAAGUAAUUAUUAUGACAUGUGACAUGAUAUUACAAUAACAUAUAAUGUGAAUUAUGAACUGUAGUGCUAGAAGCAAUUGAAUUUAGUUUUGGGGUAUGAAUGAGCUCUUAAUUUAUUUUAUUAUCAUUAUUAUUAUUAUAAUUUAUUUAUUUUUUGCGUGUAUAUUAUGAGAGCGGAGACAGUCUUAUUUUGAGAUCCUUAUAAAAACAAAGUGUAAUGCAAAAUAUAUCCACAACGUUGCCUACUGGUAUAUGUCUUAUUACACAUUUAAUGCAAACUACAUCCUGUGCUUCAAAGAAAACAGAAUUAUUUUUUAUUACAUCUUGAUCUCAGUAUGUAUAAUAUUCUUGAGCUCCUCAAUAUUGUUUGGCCUAACAUGAUUCCAUUUGAAAAAAAAAGAUGAAUAAAUGAAAUAGCUCUGCAA